rnacentral:tmRNA from 1 species
GGGGGUGUACCGGUUUCGACGGGGAUUUUGAAGCAGAAUAAGCGGGCGGUUGCGGGGAACAACCUUAAAAGCUCCGAUUUUUAAAUAUAAACGCUAACAAAAAUUUAGCUUACGCUGCCUAAUUAUCGGCGGCCAUCUUACCCGGAAUUACCGUGUUUUGGGAUUAAGGUGUCAUUUUAACGGUCAACGCUCACAUCUUUUCGCCGCAGAUGCGAGUGUAUCAGGCGAUACCGUUUGUUUUCGGCGUGUUAUCCGCUGCGGCACACGGGAAUUUUAAUCGAUAACUACGCCCGUAGAAGGUUCUGUGAAUGAGUUUUCGGACAGGAGUUCAACUCUCCUCACCUCCACCA